UUAUUUCUGCUGAUAUUAUCACCAACUUCUUCCAUCUCCCAGAGAUUAUUUGUGUGCCCAAGUUGCAGUUUCUCCACUUAGAAGUCACAGAAAACAUUGGCUCUCUAAUGCAGGGUUUCCAUAGGAUUGUGGAGAUGCAGCGCCGCGCUUGCCUGACAUUCGAAGGCUUCAUCCCCAUUUUAUCUGCAAACAAUCACCUGGUAUUGUGCAACACCAAAACACCAAGAGGGGAAUAUUUUUUGGAGAUUGAAACCGUUGGGUCGCUUGGGGAGUUAGGAUGUGCUGCUGAGAAGAAGAAAGAAGCUGCCUAUGUAUAUGCUGAUCGUAAUUAUAAUAUGGUGGCAUAUAGUGGUUAGUAUAUUAGUAACUAGCUUGCUUAUAUUGGAUUUGAAUAUUAUAUCAUAUUACAAAUAACUACCUUACUUCAAACACUCAAAUUUGGAUUUGAAUAUAUAUCAUAAUAUGAUGCCACGGAUCAAGUGUUCAUAAUACUAUCAUGUUGCCCCUUCAUCCAAAAGAGAGAGAGAGAGAGAGAGAGAGAGAGAGAGAGAGAGAGAGAUGCAAACAAAUUUUCAAAUUGGAAAUAAUUACAUUGCAAAAAGAGGUCUCUUCUGGUUUUACUUGGAUCUUAACUUUUUUUAAGAAUAAACAAAAAAUUAAAGCUUAAAUCAGUAACCCUUAAACCUCCAAACCAUGUCGUUUUGGAUUAGUGCCAAAAAGAUGGGUGAAGAAUCUCUUUGAAUGAGACAUAGACAAGAAUAUAUACAUUUUACAAAUUGUGAAAGUCAAUAGAUGAACACAAAAAUAUAGAGAAGAAUUAAAUUUGAAUAUGUGAAAGGAUCCGUCCAGAAUUUCUUAAAAUCCGAGGCGAACCCUUUGUAAUUCCUGACAUCACCCCGACGCCAGGCCCACUUACUAAAGACCGAGAUUUCCUGCCGAAAUUUCGGCAGAGUCUCCCCUAUAAAUUAAACAUUUCCCAAAAUUACAACCUGUAUAAAAACAUAUUUAAUAUCCACAACUGGCAACAUGCACAAUAUAAUUUCAUACAAUUCACAUAAACGGCCUUUGACCUUUCAAAAAUUCUCAACAAAUUACCAAACACACUAACAAAACAAUACAUGCCUUAAACAAGGCAACCAAUUUAAAUAUAAAUUGUGACUAACUUUUAGUCUGCGGCAGCACCUAAUAACCUUAGGCUGCCUACGUACCCUCCUUGAGGGAUCAAGCCACAUGUAGUUCUUUCAUAAAAACCAAUUCCACACAUAGGCGAUACCUUAUUUCAUUUCUCUGUAUUUCGCAUAAUCUCCCCAUACGCCGGUACAACCAACGCCACGUAUGGGGCCUGUCAACACGCCGGAUAACCUACGCCACGUGCGACCAUACCAUAUUGUCACAAUAUCUCCCCAUACGCCGGUACAACCAACGCCACAUAUGGGGUCUGUCAACACGCCGGAUAACCUACGCCACGUGCGACCAUGCCAUACUAUCAUAAUAUCUCCCCAUACACCGGUACAACCAACGCCACGUAUGGGGCCUGUCUCAACGCCGGAUAACCUACGCCACGUGAGACCUGCACAUCAUAUUACAUAUAUCCUCAUACGCCGGUACAACCAACGCCACGUAUGGGGUCUGUCGACACGCCGGAUAACCUACGCCACGUGCGACCUCAACAUAAUAUCACAUAUCUCCCCAUACGCCGGUACAACCAACGCCACGUAUGGGGCCUGUCUCAACGCCGGAUAACCUACGCCACGUGAGACCUGAACAUCAUAUCACAAAUCUCCCCAUACGCCGGUACAACCAACGCCACGUAUGGGGCCUGUCCGCAUGCCGAAUAACCUACGCCACGUGGAACCUAACUUUUACUUGGUGGUACUUGUAGUGUAACCAAAAUCCUGGGAGGUAUCUAAGGUAGUGCGUAUAGCACUCCAAACUGACACCUCUAGACUCCUUUGUAUCCCUAAACAAACAUAUCAAAAUGUAAAAUAAUUCUAAUAUUGUGUAACUCUCCACAAUGGUCUAGCACCCGAUAAUCCCCCCUGAAAAGGUGAGAUUACUCCGGGAGACUUACGAUCAACCAAGGGUCAAACUACCAUAACCCUGGUCAAACGGACCUGCAGGGCUCACGACCUCCAUAUUCCGAUCCGAAAGUUCCUAUGGGUUCUAUAAGGUAUAGGACACUCGUCUUACAAAUUUGGUUCAGAUCGGACGAUCGGAGAGCUCAUAAUCGCACGAUCUGACGGUUAAAAUAAAAUAUAAACUUAAAAUUAUUUAUUCGGAGCAUCCGGGGCUCCGCACAAUCCGUGAAUUCCUACAUGAUCCUAGAAAUACCUAGAUUAACAUGUAUUAAAUUUGGGACCAUCCAACGGUCCCACCCUAUCGCACCCGGAUAACGCACAAUAUGCGAUCGUCCGUUCGAUAGUCAAACGACGUCCGAAUUGAGAUCCGUGAAAUCCUGCGCACUCGUGACAACCUAAGGAUCUCACCGAGAUACAGUGUCACUUUUUCUAUAGUGCCCACGCUCCGCCGCACGCGCCGGCAGCGCGUGGGUGCCCAAGGCGAUAAAGCUUCGCUAAAAAUCUCAAAACCACGGCUCCAAACUCCUACCCUAGGUAUAACACCCUAUUUGGAGCCACUUUUGUUUUUGGACCUACCCAAAAACUGACCGGAAGUGGCCGGAAUGACGAUCCCAAAACGGCCGAAUUUCAAUUCGAAAAUCGAAUUGGCUACGCUAAGAAUCGAUCCAAUCCUACCCAACAAGCAGCUAGAGCAUGCAGAAGGGAUGAAUUUUCAUACCUUGAUCGCCAGAAAUGGCGGCCGGAGGAGGGAGAUCGGAGCAGCGAAGUUCGGGCGAAAACCGGGGCGAAAAUCGCCUUUUUCCAGCGGCUGGAGCGGCGGCCGAUGUCGGGGGAGGGAUGGGUCGUGACGCCGAGGCCGAGCCGGUCCUUUUGGCACCGGUCCCGUCCGCAGCCGCGGCCGGUGGCUGGAGAUACGAGGAGAGAGAGAGAGAGAGAGAGAGAGAGAGAGAGAGAGAGAGAGAGAGAGAGACCGACAGCAGAGAGAGAGAGAGCUCGCGGGAGGGAGAGAGAGAGAGAUAGAGAAAAAAAAAUCUGAUUUUUAUAAAAAAAUCUCAUUUCGAAAUAAUUACGAUUGUGCCACUGGGUUUCUUUUGACCAUAUCUCUCUCGUUACAACUCCUAUUCGAGCCCACUACGUGUCUAUGAACUCGUCUCAGUACGACCUAACCAAAAAUACUAGUCGAUGCCCCAAACUCUCUCAGGUUACGAAUAUGACCAAAAUGCCCUUAUCUCAAGGGUAAAUGUGUAAUUUCCCUUAAAUUAUUAAAUAAUUUAAAUAAGGGGUUUAAUUUGGAGUCGGGGUGUUACAAUAUGACAGGAUCAAACCAAGCAAUGCUGGAAAAAGGAAAAUCGAACCUAUGACCUAAAAUGCAUGAAUAAACGUUCUUAAUCAUUUGAUGAACAAACCCCUAUCAAUUAGUGAGUUUUUUUAGGCCCGUCUGAAAUAAUAUUAUUUGUUAACUAAUGGUGGGUAGAAUUGGGCCUCAAGCAAACCUUAUUGCUCCAAUUGGAUAAGGCCUUCAUCUUGGGUCAACUUUUUCUAACAUUGGACCUCACAUUUAUUUAUUUAUUCAUUUAUUUUUUUUUCAUGAAGAAGUUUAUAGAAACCAGUUUAAAAUGAAAAGAAAAGAAAAAAAACCAUCAUCUAAAAAAUUAAUAAAAUUCUGUUGAAAGUGGCAAAUGCCAAAUGCUAUGAUACAAGAAAUGAAAUCUAUACAAUUGAAGGAGAAGGUAAUUCAGAGAAGCACAAGAAAAGCUCUGUCGCUCCUUAAAUAAUCUUUCCGUCUCUUACUUUAUGCAAGAUUUUUGGGUUUCAUCAAUUCACUGUUGAGGUAAGCUCUGCCAGAUUUGUAAAAUUCAUCCUUUAUUGCUUCUUUCUUUCAGUCGGAUUUAUCUUUUAUUUUUUCAGUGAUUUCUAAUUGGAUCGCAAUUAGGGAAUUGGAAGAAAAUUUUUGAUGCUUUAUAUUUGUAUUCAUAUUGGUCGUGUUGUUGAUUAGUUGUGAUUGGAAUUGCGGUCCAGUUGCAAUUUGUAGCUUACAAUAUGUGAUUUUCCUUUCUUUCUUUUUUUUUCUUUUAAGGCUUGUGAUUCUGGAGGACCCAUUGAUGCUUUUUUGUAAAGUUAGCUCUUUUUUCUGUGUUUACACGUACAUCUGUGAUUGUUUUAUAGUUUGUAGGUGGUGAAGAAAUAGGCUGGAUUUAUAUGUUCUGUGAGAGUUGGUUGUCUGUGUCAAUAUCACAAAGAAGGUGGAGGAGAUUAGGAUAAAUGUUGUUUUUCAAUCACUUUGGACCUGAAUCUUGUUUCUUGAGAAAUGAGCUUUUCUAAGACCGUUUGUGUUUGAAGUCUGCCUAUUUUACUGCUUUUUGGUGGGAGUUUCAGAUUAGGAGGAAAGAUGGGUUUUUGCAUGCAAAAACUUCAUUUGUUUAUUUGUAGCUAUUAGUUAACAAAGGCAGGCGGUACUGCUCUUGUUUCCAGUAAUAACUAUCUGAUUCUUUUAGUUUUUCAGCUUUACUAUUGCAUUGCUUCUGAUGCCCACGCAAUACAAAUCUAUGGUAUAACUGCCUUCAGCAUAACACACAUAUCCUGAUUUCUCUAUCGUCUCAGAACUCUGUUACAGCCAUCACUGCUGGUACUUCUUAUUGUAUUCUUCACAUGCCACUGUAUACUCCUUUCAAGAUCCUUAGCUUCUUAUAAGUUUAUAGAAGAAAUGCAGCACCAACAUUUGGCAUGCCGCGUUGGUGCAUAUCAAUGUAGUAUUGCUGCAUAUGUUUAUAGCUUUAGAGAUGUGUAUCAAGGAGGAGUACUAGAUUGAGGAGGGAAAGCGUUGCACAUUUCUAAAAGCAUUAAUAUCAUCUACCAUUCAAAAUGUGAAGAAAUGCAUAACAUAUGUGAAUAUCUACCCUGAAAGUUGUAAUAUAAAUUUUAAACCUAAGUUGGGAGCCAUAAAUACUAAUCGAAUAGGUCCAUCCAGUACUCAACACUAAAUUUAACUUUCUGGGACUCGUAAUUAUAUCUGUGAUCUAUCAUUUGGAUGUCGGAUUCUUGUUCUUCUGUUACUGUUAAUGAUUGUGCAUGAAGUACAAAUAGGUUAUUGUAGUUAUUUUCGUUGAUAGCUGCUUUUCUAUGGGGCAAUCAGACACACAUAUUACAAAGUAAUUCAGUGUAUAUGUGGAAGAAACAGCGACCAAAUUAAGAGUAUUGUCAUCGUGUAGUUUGUACUUACUUUUGAGUGGUGGUUCCCAACCGGAAGAUUGGCAUCUUGUUUAGGCUCCUGUGUGAAAUGAUCAGUACUGUUUAUUGGUUGUGGUUUGAGCAGUGAUAGUCCCUACCUACGGAUAUCAUUUACCGUCCCAAACUGUCAUUGAUUACAUCUUGUGAAUAGUCAAAUUGAUUGCAGCCUUGAAAUGGUUUAAGAUCAACUAAAUCCUUAGCUAUGAGUUAUCUCAUAGUUUUCCCUCUUUUCAUUUAUGAGUUCCUUACAGGAAUUGGAGAACCAACUUUACGUUUCUGAUUUGUAGUGUUUGUUUUCACGGACUAAAAUUAUCUUAAUAUGUGUUCUUACCGUUCAGAAAUUAAACCAAAUUAUAUGCUCUUACUCUUUCUGCUGAGAACUAAUAUAAUGUUCUGUUAUCAGCAUACGAGGUGACAAACAAAGUGAUGGUGAAAGCAUACACGCAAGAGUACACAUACAAGCACCCAUGGGAGAGGGUGACUUCUGCAUCUUGGAAAAAAUUUGCUGAUCCUGAAAACAAACGCACUUUGUCACAUAUCCUUGAAGUUGACACUCUGAACCACAAGCUUGAUCCUAGUACUGGAAAGCUUUACACCACACGUGCAAUCACUGUCCAUUCCCCCGGACCAUGGUUUGUUCGCAAAAUUGUUCGCCAGGAUGUCUGCCACUGUGUUGAAUCAACGGUUGUGGAUGCGAAAACACGAUCAAUGCAACUCACCACCAACAAUAUCAGCCUUGAAAAGUUUAUAGAGGUGGAGGAGAAGAUCAGGUAUGAUCCCCACCCAGAAAACCCAGAUGGGUGGACAAUCUGCCGACAGGAGACUAGUAUCCGAAUCAAACCAUUAUCCGCAUUGGCAUCUAUGGCAGAAAAGGUUGAACAACGCUGUGCUGAGAGGUUUGUACAGAAUAGUGCAAAGGGUAGAGAGGUUAUGGAGAGGAUAUGCAAGUAUCUUGAAGCUGAAUCUAAAGGGCUUGCUAGAUCAUAGGGCAUGUGAACUCUUUCACAGUAGAAAUAAUAGAAGACUGAAAGAGUGUAGAACCUGGACUUUUAACCUUGAAUCUCUUGUUGGUUGAAAUUUUGAUGCGGUAAAAUGUACUGUUGGGAACAUUAAUUUCCCAUUAGAUUUAGUUUUCGCUAUGUGUAUCUAAUUUUCUAUUUUUAUUUCAACGAUUACAGUGACUUGGUGAUUUAUAUGGGGUGAACUUAUUUGCAAUCUUGGCUAUUGUAAGAAACAAGUUUACAGAAUCGUUGAGAACUUUUCUUGGAAUAUAUACUCGGAAAAUAAUUGACCAAAAGUGUACACUCCAUUCUUUAUUCUGUCCUCCUUUGAGCAAAUGUAGCGUUGGCUUUGUGACCAAUCUUCUUGGUGCUUUUUAACAUUUCAAUGGUCAUUUUAUUUACACAGCUAUCGCCACGUAAGAAAUAAUAUAUUUUAUGAUUCCUUGAACUUCUUUGGUUUACGAAUUGAUCUUAUUAAGAAUGAAAUUUUCAUGUCUAAUUCCACGAAAUAGGAAGAGUCUUAUUCCACGAAAUAGGAAGAGUCUUAUUCCACGAAAUAGGAAUAGGGGAUGUUCUAGGAAAUAAGGACCAUGAAAGCCCAUUUUGUCCCAUUACCAUAUUUUUACCCAUUACCAUAUUUGAUUUGUAGUAGCGCAGCUGAAUAUCAUCUGGCAAUAAGACUCCUGUUAUGGGUGACCCAUGACACUCUGCUUCCCUUUUUUUGUAAGAUUACUUUAUACUUUCAACUUUCCCUUUAUGUUUUAGUGAUGGAUGACACUCAAAAUAUUUUAAGUUCAUUCAAAACUGAUCACAAUCAUAAAAGGAGCACUCUUUGAUUAAAAUUAUGCCUGAAAACCUAAUCGACGAGAAAGGAAAGGAAAAUAGAUUCAUGCAUGGAAACCACAUCGAUAAUAUACAAUACCAGUCAUUGCGUCCACAUCUGAGAAUUGCGACUGAAAUGUACUGCACGAAAGAAAUGCCAUAUAGACAGCAAGUAGACACAUUACGAACAUUAACCCAUAACCAUGUCCACCAAACAAGCACAGACUACAACACAUAAAGUUCUCCCAAUCACAACAAAUACAGAGUUCUUCAAAGUGCUGAGAUGUCCAUGCCUUCCCCGGUUGGACAUAACAUAAUAAAAGGGCAAGUGCUAAGAUAUCGCAGCAGACUCUGAAGCCAUCUCCUGGAUGAAAACAAGCAUCAAUUCCAAAAUAUGAAACUUCACCACAUCAGGCUUAGAUUUUUUCAAGCUUAUCAGCCUUUACAACAGGGUUGGCUUUAGCAAUCACAUCACGUGCAGCAGUGUGGUAAUCAUAAGGGCAGUCAUGUUUGUCUGAAUAACGAUGUACUGCACAGAAAAGGUGACCACACCGACAAUUGAACCCUGUUAAUCCAACCCUCUUGUUGCAAGUUCCGCAACGUUUUGGGCCUUCUGGCUUUGCCUCACCACUCCCCCCCGAACCUGAACCAAAGGAAAAGGAUGGUUGUAAAGAGAGAGUUUUUGGCUCCACCAGAUGGGCUUGAACAUCCACACCAGCAGCAACAACAGGUUCAUUUCCAUUGCUGUUUGAUGUUCCAUUGACAAUGUUUCCAAAGGAUGAUGCAGCGAGCUUUGCCUGCUCCUCUUUCAACAUCAUGUCCUUAUGGCACUUGGAACACAUAUUCCUAGUAGCCACACUUCCAAAAAACCCACAAUUGUUUACACACAAUAUAGGACCCUCGGGGUGAGGUUGACAGCCAGUCUCCUCAUGCUCCAUCUUUUCAACUUACCUGCAAAGAGAAUAUACCUGAAUAGGGAACCAACAAAUCAAUGGGGGACAGCUAAGUGAUGUAAGAUAUAGGUGAAUUAUAGAUUUAGGCCGUUUAGCACAAGCAAAAACAAUGGAAAACAGAAAAUUAGAUGAAUAAAGAUAGGCCUGGAAUCACUCCAGGGUCUUCACUCCAGAAUUCCAAUAUCUGGAAAAUAAACUUUAAUGAACUACAUGGGGGUAUUUAUAGCAAAACCUAGAGGCAAUAGGAUAAAAAAUCCCUUACUAAAACAGAAAUCCUAUCCCAAAUAAAUUAGGAAACUAGAAAUCCUACUGAAAUUUGGAAAACUAGAGAAACUAGAAAACUAAUAAAUGAUGUCCACAUCACUAGAGUGGAAACCCAAACCCCACGCCCAAUCUUCCUUUCAAGAUUUGGUUUCUAACAAAAAAUACUGUUAUUGUAAUUUAAUGCUAGUUUUAUAUACCAUCGAGAAGACUAAACAACUUGUGAUACUCUAUCUGAUUAUCAUGUCGCAUAAUAUCAUAGAGGUCAGGCAGAUUUUCAUUAUCUUUAUAACUUGUACGCAGGACAACUCAUCGUUAAAUAGACAACACUUAGAUUUCAAUCUAGCAUAGAAUAGAAUAAUAAUGAAAGCAUUGAAUGAUGUUGAAAAUUUUAACGAAUGCAUUAUUAUAGAAAUCCAAAAGUACAUUACACAUGCCAAUUCAAUAAGCAAUAAAAAACAGCCAACUGCUAUUUGUAGGCAUACACACACAUGUAUUAGUGUAGUGUUAGAAACAAUAUAUUUAUUACAAGACUUGAAUGGCCAUUCCUCAAACCAACUAUGUCACGUAUUGUAGUUAAGCUACAUAAACACCUACCAAUUAACUGACAGUAUACAACAAAACUUUUUUAAAAUGAAAAAGAACAAUGAAUUUAUCUUCUUUUAACCUACUUAUGUGUGCCAAACUUCAAAUACAAAGCUCAAAUUUUUAACCAAUUAGCAAUUACGAUAAACUCACAAAUUACCCAACACCCUACCUUGACUUUCAAAUGUUAACUAUUGAUCCAAAGAGUAAAAUCCACACAAAAAAAUCCCAAAUUAUAAAUUUCCAAACACUACCUACCUUGAAACCCCUCAAGAACAAGAACAGCUAAAAUCAGAGGAAAAGAAGAAAAAAAAAACCCUACUUUUUAGUCAGCUAUACAAGCACAUAUACAUAUGCAUACAAAGAAACCCUACCCAAUUAAAGAAAACCUCUGAAACAGAUUCCGGAGCUCAGAAUCGCAUCGGACACCAGGCCCCUGUUCACCAAAAGAAACCAAAGAACCAAAAAUUCAAAACAGAGAAUCAGAGAAUCAGUAAACGAAUAAGAAGAUCGAAAGAACCCCUCGAUGAAAAGCCAACACAGGAAAUUCAAAGAGUAAAGAAAAGGGAGAUUUUCAAAACCCUAACCCUAUCAGAUUUUGGAUCGCCGAGGACAGAGCGGAAAAGCAAGAGACGUGUUUCUCUCUUUUUGUGCUCGACGCUCCCUUGCUAUUUAAUAAUUUUCUCUUUCUAUUAAGAAACCGACGUGGCCGGUUUUCAUUGGCCUCCGGUCUUACCUUUAUUGGAACAAUUUUCCUCUUUUGUCCCUUUUGUAAAGCGUUAAUAACCGCCUUGCAAGGUUGGGAAUGCUGGUGAGGUUAGGUGUAGUGGUCGGUUAAUCACAAUGCUAAUGUUGGGAUUUUUUCUAACUUCAAAGUCAAAAACAAUAAAUAUCCUUUUUUUAUAUCAAUCCCAAUCCAAUUCCUACUAUAAAAAUAAUUGAAAGGAGCUCACAAUAUGUUUUUUUAACUCAAAAUAUCUCAUUGAAUCGCCUAUUUUUAAUUAGUAGAUUAUUGCAGUAUAUUUUUAAUGUGUAAUUAUGACCAGUCACAUAUUCAUAACUUGUAUCGAAUCACAAAACUCUAGCAGAAUAUUAUAUUUAUCAAAUUUAGUUUCAAUAUGUAGGUUUGUAGGAGAAAAAGCUUAACAAAUCUUAAUUGGUUACUUAUCUCUUACUCCUAAUUAACCCAUCUAUCAUUUUCAAAAUCUCUAUUUCUAUAUCCCCCUAAAAUCUUGUCACUUUGCAUAUGUAGUGAGGUAAAUGUCAAAUUGAUAAGACAAACGAAAACUGAAAUAUAAAUGGCAGCUAUAUAUAUGCUUUUCAUGCAUCCUCCUACCUUGACAAGCUAUGAAUCUCAUAUGAUUAGUGACACAUCAACCACAUGGUAGUAAUAAUGGUAUCCAUGGAACUCAAAAUGCAAGCAAAGAUUUACCUUUGAAAUGUAUUUAAUUAAACUCAGGUUUGCAAUUAAACCUGUCACUAAAAGACCCUCUUUUCUUCCUUCCUUUGCGUUUGUAUCAAAUCUUCUAUCUUUUCAUAUACUUUCAUGCCUAGCCUUUGCAAUUCCAAAGUCUUCGCCAAGGAGAAUUAGUUGAGUUGGUAAAGUUCGAGCCUUGCUACCGACAAUCCUUUUUGGUUGGUAAUUUAUAAAAACACAACAAACAAAAAAAAGGCUAAGAUCUCAUUUAUAAGUCCUCAAAAAGGUAUUAGUAUGCCAUGGACAUUGAUAGAGUGAAAGGAAGUUAAAGGUGCGACCAUAAAAGAAAAGCAACAAAUUGAUCAUGAUCAAUCAAUUUAGUGCUUCUGUUGGACAAUUGCGUUGCUUGAUGAAUAUUGGAAAAAGAUGGCUUCACCAAAGGUAGUGUUUAUUAGUAUGUUUUACAAGAUUUAUCAAGAGAAACAGCAAUUUGGUUAUACACGCAUAGAACCUAAUGAGAACUAUAUUAGCAUUAGCAAGACCGGUAAUGGAACCUUAAUUAUAAAGUGUUUAGAAUUUGAUAUUAAAAACACAUUUCAAUUCUGGUGCCUCAGCCAGGACUGGAUUUAUUGUGUCAAACAAAUCCUAUCGGCCAAAAUCUUAAUGUCCUCCUGGUCGAUGUUUUUGAUGAACUUGGACUAGAUCUAUUGUGUCAUACAAAUCACGUCGGAAGGGAAAUAGUAGUAGGGACGUAUUGCAAAUUAAGCAAAGAGAUUAAAAAGAUAAAACAAAUAAACAAAACACACCAAGAAUAAAUAGUGCUAUAUAAAUAGCUUCAUUUAUUGGAAAAUAUAUUAAUUAGUUACACGCACGCAUCCUCCUCUUGAUCAGUUGAUUAGACACAUUUAGUGCAAGUAAAAGGCCAACAAGGACAAGAGUGAAGCUCCCACCAUAGAUCCAACGAUGGGCAUGUUUGCAAUGGAGCCACUAGGUGUCGGAGCAGAUGCGGCGGUGGUAGCUGAGGGGGAAGGAGCCUCCACGGGGGCACCGACCUUCGGGCUUCCGGCAGCCAUAGCUGCGGACAUGCAGACUGCAACCAUGAGGACGGCCAAGGCAAUCUUCUUCAUCUCCAUUUUUGUGGGUGUGGUUGAUAUUGAGAAAUAAGCCUUGGAUAUGGAAAUGUUAGAGUUGUAGUUUGAACGUCCUGAGGAAAAUAGGGUGGCCAUGGAGGGUAUAUAUAGCUCUCUAGCUAUGGAGCGUUUUGGGUAUUUUUGGAAAAUAGAUUAUCUGUUUGGGUCUAAAUUGUUUAUGGUUUGGAAGAUUUUUGUGGAGUUGGUUGGUUUGUUGUGAAUUUAUGAGGGAAGGGUUCUUAGGUUACGUGUAUGGUUUUGCAUGAACGGCGGCUACUUAAGGGUACAACAAAGUACUAACAAUGUCAAGAUUUACAAGAUGAUAACGACAUAUAACAAGGAUGCUGAGUGUGUCAAAAGAUGAGAUUAGGUUUGAUUUUUGCAUUUUAACAUGUAUAAAAAUGGGUACGCCCAAUGGUUUAAACUUACAUUUAUAAACAAAUGAUUAGAUGAGUAGUAAUGAUCAAAUGAGAGUCUUGUGACGGUUUCGAACAAAAGCAUAAUAAAAUAGGGACUUCUCUUGUGGCAAAUAUUAUUUACUCUCACCUUCACAUCACAAUAAGAGUUCAACUCUAGUCCAUAAACGGUUUUUAGCUCAAAUGAGGAAAAGCAUUAAUCUAUGCACCCGAUAUACUAUGUUCGAUUCUCCCUCCCCAAUAUCACUUAUAUAUCAAAAGAAUGUUUUUUUUUUAUUUAUCACAAAACGUCCCUAAGGUUAACAAAAAGGCCGCAAUCUAAUAGUUUCGUUAACCUCAGGGAUGUUUUGAGAUAAUAACAAAAUCAAAAGAAUUUAGUCCCCGUUUGGGAUUGUUUUUUUUUUUUUGGGGGGCCAAAAACCUGCUUUACUUUAAAGUUAAGCAGUUUAAGGUGUUUGGUAAAAAUAAAAUAUCAUGAUUAUUUUAAAAGCAAUGGUCUUUUGACAGCAGCUUUUAAAAGUAGGCUUUGAAUUACUUUUCAAAGCUGUUUUCAAAAGAAGCAGAGAUGAACUUUUAAUGAAUUUUUUUAAUUCUUAAAAUAUCAUCAUUCAUUUUUAAAAAUGACACCACCUCCACUUCCGCAUCCAACUCCACCACUUGCACCAUCACAUUCACUACCUCCACAACCACCGUCAUUGCCAUCACCACCACCACAACCACCACCGCCUCCACCACCUCCACCACCUCCACCAUCACCUACUUCACCUCCACCUCCACCUCCACCACAACCACCACCACCACCACCACCUCCUCCUCCACAACCAACACCACCACCACCACCUCCUCCACAACCGCCAUCCCCACCACCACAACUACCACAACCACCAACUCCACCUUCAUCACAACCACCACCUCCACUCCAUCACUACCACUAACACCACAUGAUUAAUACAUAACACUUUUAACAUCAUGUUUAUUUUAAUCAUUAUUCACAGUUGCAACAAUUUUAAAUUUACCAAACGGUUUUGACACUGCUUUUCGUACUUUACUUUAUAGCUAGUUAUUUUUAAAGCACAGUAGAAGUAAUUUUUUUUUUAAAAUGACAGCAAUUCCAAAUUUGGCCUUAAACGCUGGACUUCCUCUUCCUGCAAAUAAGGGCGGAACAUCAUUUAGUUCUUCCUGAAUUUUUCUUAUACAACUUUAGCCCACCCAUGAGCUCAACAGAACGUCCAACUCCAGCCCAUUUUUCCAACGCUAGCCCAACCCAUAUUAGAAACCUAGUUCCGACUAUAAUUGUGUCAAUGAAUAUUAUUGUUGUUAUUGCUUGAGGGUGUUAUUUUCAUUUUACCUAUUAAUAAACGUAGAAGACAAGAUUUUUAUAUGAAGUGCAAAUAAGUAAAAACAUUUUCGUUUGGUAAAGCAUCAUAUUUGAACUACAAUUCUGUGUGGCACUGGCAACGAAACCUUUUCUCCUUUCCUUUUGAAACACAACUUUUGAACUCAACGGUUUUGAUAUGGCUGCUUUUACAGAAGAGAAGACAAGCCGACCAAGAGAGCCGUUGUGUUGCGGGGACCACAUAAAGGAACAGAAGGCUGGCAUUAUAUCAUAUCACCUUCUUAUUGUAGGGGCCACAAGACGUAACGGGAGAGUAACGUUUCCAUCCUCGUACGGAAUUCAUAUUCCAAUUUGAAAAUUUUUUAAGUUUUAAUUACGAAAAAUUAAAAUUAAAAUUAAAAUUUAAAGUCCUAUAAAUACCAUGUUUCCAAGUCUCUCACCUUCCUCACUCUUCAAUCCACCACACACACUCUCUCAUCACAGUGCACUCUCUUUUUCUUUUGGUCGAAUACUCUCUUUUCCUCUGUUCUCCUCUGUCUAGAAAUGGCGCAAUUUAGCAACUGCAAAGCUAUGUUCUUGAUGGUAAUAGCCAUGGUGCUUGUCUCAGUUACAGCUCAGGAUACUGCGCCGGCUCCAUCACCGGCAUUGGACGCUGGAGCUGGAACUCUGGUGACAAUUUCCAGCCUAUACAUAUACUCUCCGGUGCUCUUCUCUCUCUUUGCGCUGCUUAGGCAUUAGGGAGACUUGGACUGAGACUACUAUAUAAUUAUUAUGGUAUUUUUUGUAUUCUUUUCUGCAUGUAUUUGUUAUUUCUUAAUCUUCCUAAUCAUUGGUUAUGGAUGUUAUAUUGCCUCACUAUAAAAUUUAGUACAGUGCUUCAGUGUGAGUGUGUCAUUUUUAGCCUUUAUUAUUGCAUUUCUAACGCCCAUGGAUUCCAUAGCCUCGAAGAUGCAAGCAACCUAAACAAGGCUAAAUGCCAGUCAUUGAGUUUGAUUAACUACUUAAAAACAGCAUCCUACUUCAUUUCUAAGAGUCAAGGCAAUGGCCGUUGUCGGAAUGUGGAUUUUUCGGCAAAAUCACAUUUAAAACAACAUAAAGUAGCCUGUU
rnacentral:lncRNA from 1 species